rnacentral:rRNA from 1 species
UGGGGAAUAUUGCACAAUGGGCGAAAGCCUGAUGCAGCGACGCCGCGUGAGGGAUGACGGCCUUCGGGUUGUAAACCUCUUUCAGCAGGGACGAAGCGCAAGUGACGGUACCUGCAGAAGAAGCACCGGCUAACUACGUGCCAGCAGCCGCGGUAAUACGUAGGGUGCAAGCGUUGUCCGGAAUUACUGGGCGUAAAGAGUUCGUAGGCGGUUUGUCGGGUCGUUUGUGAAAACCAGCAGCUCAACUGCUGGCUUGCAGGCGAUACGGGCAGACUUGAGUACUGCAGGGGAGACUGGAAUUCCUGGUGUAGCGGUGAAAUGCGCAGAUAUCAGGAGGAACACCGGUGGCGAAGGAGGGUCUCUGGGCAGUAACUGACGCUGAGGAACGAAAGCGAGGGUAGCGAACAGG